GGUUAGUGCUGUGAAUAAGGCAGUAAGCGUGGCUGGGCUUAAAUGCACAUGUUACGCCGAUGAGUCGUCAUUGACCUAGUGUGACUCUGCCGAUAUAGAUUAGGCGCACUAACC
rnacentral:sRNA from 12 species